GGCACAAGCGGAGGAGCAUGUGGUUUAAUUCGAUGAUACGCGAGGAACCUUACCUGGGCUCGAACGUAAGAUGACUGUAGGUGAAAGCUUACAUCUCUUCGGAGCAUUUUACGAGGUGCUGCAUGGUUGUCGUCAGCUCGUGCCGUGAGGUGUCGGGUUAAGUCCCAUAACGAGCGCAACCCCUACCUUUAGUUGCCAUCAGGUUAAGCUGGGGACUCUAAAGGAACUGCCUACGCAAGUAGUGAGGAAGGCGGGGAUGACGUCAAAUCAGCACGGCCCUUACGUCCAGGGCUACACACGUGCUACAAUGGCCGAUACAGAGGGCAGCUACCUGGUGACAGGAUGCAAAUCUCCAAAGUCGGUCUCAGUUCGGAUCGGAGUCUGCAACCCGACUCCGUGAAGUUGGAUUCGCUAGUAAUCGCGCAUCAGCCAUGGCGCGGUGAAUACGUUCCCGGGCCUU
rnacentral:rRNA from 1 species